GUCCAAGCAAGAGAAAGGAAAUGCUUUUACCCUUCAAGUGCCUUCCUCUUUAGGUCCCUGAACUAGUCCUCAGGGACUCUGGAGCUGAUUAGGUUUGCCUGUGCCCAUAGGAACAUAGACAGAAUCGCCACCUUUGACUAUUCCUUCCUCAUUCACCCAAGGGAUCCAUAUCCCUUCCAUCCACUGUAUGGAAACAACAUACAGCUCCUGCUUUUCUCCAAGGUAUGCCUCUUCCCCAUAGAAAUUCUGUUUUGUUUCAUCUUAUGGUUUUUCAGGUCAGGGAAAAGUCGGUAAAAUACCUAUAUUCUUUGGGUUUAUGGUUCAUUUGAAGUAUUGUGCCUCAUUUGCUUGGUCUCUUCAAGAAAUUGCUCUGCGAAUGCCUUAUCAGCUUCACUCUCCACAGCACGUAAACCAGUGACUUGGGGCUAUUCCCUCCAGUGAGGCACCCUCCAGCCCCCGCUAGCUUUUUUUCCUUUCUUUUCUUUGUGUGUGUGUGUGGGGGGGGGGGGGGGGAAGGGGGGUGAAAUCAAACUUAGACUUUCCUUGAAGUUUUGAUAACAUUCUUAAAA
rnacentral:lncRNA from 1 species